rnacentral:rRNA from 1 species
UAGGGAAUCUUCCGCAAUGGACGCAAGUCUGACGGAGCAACGCCGCGUGAGUGAAGAAGGAUUUCGGUUCGUAAAACUCUGUUGUUAGAGAAGAACAGCGCAUAGAGUAACUGUUAUGCGUGUGACGGUAUCUAACCAGAAAGCCACGGCUAACUACGUGCCAGCAGCCGCGGUAAUACGUAGGUGGCAAGCGUUGUCCGGAUUUAUUGGGCGUAAAGCGAGCGCAGGCGGUCAAUUAAGUCUGAUGUGAAAGCCCCCGGCUCAACCGGGGAGGGUUAUUGGAAACUGGUUGACUUGAGUGCAGAAGAGGGGAGUUGAAUUCCAUGUGUAGCGGUGAAAUGCGUAGUUAUAUGGAGGAACACCAGUGGCGAAGGCGACUCUCUGGUCUGUAACUGACGCUGAGGCUCGAAAGCGUGGGUAGCAAACAGG